CUGCGCCACAAGUGGGAGUCACGAUUAUUGGGCCUAAAGCGUCCGUAGCCGGUUUUGCAAAUCUUUUGUGAAAUUGCUGAGCUUAACUCAGCAGCGUGCAGAAGACACUACAAGACUUGGAACCAGGAGGAGUCAGAAGGAUGCUGGGGGGAGCGGUAAAAUGCUAUAAUCCCCGGUAGACUACCUGUGGCGAAGGCGUCUGACUAGAAUGGAUUCGACGGUGAGGGACGAAAGCUAGGGGAGCGAUCCGGAUUAGAUACCCGAGUAGUCC
rnacentral:rRNA from 1 species